rnacentral:rRNA from 1 species
UACGUAGGGUGCGAGCGUUAAUCGGAAUUACUGGGCGUAAAGCGUGCGCAGGCGGUUUUGUAAGCCAGAUGUGAAAUCCCCGGGCUUAACCUGGGAAUGGCAUUUGGGACUGCAAGGCUGGAGUGUGGCAGAGGAGACUGGAAUUCCUGGUGUAGCAGUGAAAUGCGUAGAUAUCGUAAGGAAGACCAGUGGCGAAGGCGGGUCUCUGGACAGUUCCUGACGCUGAGGCACGAAGGUCAGGGGAGCAAACGGG